rnacentral:sRNA from 1 species
GGAGGCGGCAGGGAUGCGAUGGCGGAGUCGCUGCCCCUGGAGAUGCUCACAUAUAUUCUGAGCUUCCUGCCUCUGUCAGAUCAGAAAGAGGCCUCCCUCGUGAGCUGGGCUUGGUACCGUGCCGCCCAGAAUGCCCUUCGGGAGCACCCUCUGAAGCCAGAGGGCUACCCCCAGGCCUGCUGCUGCUCCGUAGACAGAUGUGCGAUACAACAUCCCCGUGUCCUCUGCCUCCCUCUCGGCCAUCAAGAGCCUGGGCCUCAAGGGCAUCUGCUGCAUCCGCCUGACCAACCUGGAUGGCUCUCCAGCUUCACACCAGAUGCUACAAUCUGUUGCUUACCACCUGGGCCCACACCUGCAGAGCUUGUCCCUGGGUGGAGGCAGUCCCACAGAGGCCUCCUUUGUGGCCCUGAUCCUGGGCUGCCCAGCCCUGUGUGUCCUUGACCUCAGUGGCUGCAAUAGCCUCUUCACCUCGGGCACACUGCUGGCUCAGCCCGAGAUGGCACAGAGCGUCCGGCAGGCUUUGAGCGGCCUCCGUGAGCUCAACCUGGCUGGCCUGCGAGACCUGGCUGACCUCAGCUUCAACCGGCUCAGCAGCUGUGCCCCCAGCCUGGAGCGCCUCUCCUUGGCAUACUGCCACCUCACCUUCGAGCUAGGCCCAGCCCGAGGGUCCAUCGGCCCCCAAGACUCCUCUCCCUCCCAGUUCUCCUUCUGCAACCUGCUGCGAUUCGUGCAAGAGCGGGCUGGCAGGCUGCGUGCCCUGGACCUGAGUGGCACUGGCUUGCCACCCGAGGCCCUGCGGGCCCUGGGCCAGGUAGCUGGGCUGCAGCUUCAGGAGCUGAGCCUGCACAGCUGCCGGGACCUCUCCACAGAGGCUGUGGCUACCCUGUGCUUCCAGCAACCAGGCCUUACCUCCCUGGACCUCAGUGGCUGCUCAGAACUGACUGAUGGGGCGCUCUUGGCCGUGAGCCGUGGCCUGCGGCACCUGCGGCGCCUGAGCCUGGGGAAGCUGCAGCGGCUGACAGACGCAGGAUGUACAGCUCUGGGUGGCCUGCAGGAGCUGCAGAGCCUCGACAUGGCCGAGUGCUGUCUGGUGAGAGGGCGGGAACUGGCCCAGGCCCUGAGCUCUGUGCACGGGGCUCCAUCCCAGCUGGCCUCCCUCAGCCUGGCCCACUGUUCUUCAUUGAAGUCACGCCCAGAGCUGGAGCAUCAGGCCUCAGGUACCAAGGACCCCUGUCCCGAGCCACAGGGCCCCUCCCUGCUCAUGCUGCGGGCCCUGCAGGAGUUGGACCUCACAGCCUGCAGCAAGCUGACCGAUGCCAGUUUAGCCAAGGUGCUCCAGUUUCCCCAGCUGAGGCAGCUGUCCCUUAGCCUGUUGCCAGAACUCACAGACAACGGCUUGGUGGUUGUGGCCAGGGGCUGUCCUAGCCUGGAGCACUUGGCGCUGAGUCACUGCAGCCGCCUCAGUGACAAGGGCUGGGCCCAGGCAGCCAGCUCCUGGCCGAGGCUGCAGUAUCUCAAUCUGUCCAGCUGCAGUCAGCUCACAGAGCAGACACUGGAUGCCAUUGGGCAGGCGUGCAGGCAGCUCCGGGUGUUGGAUGUGGCCAUGUGCCCUGGCAUCAACAUGGCCGCCGUCAGACGCUUCCAAGCCCAGCUGCCCCAGGUGUCCUGCGUCCAGUCCCGCUUCGUGGGAGGGGCUGACCUGACCCUAACACUCUGAGGCCGG